rnacentral:rRNA from 13 species
CGUGAAACCCUGUCUGAAUCUGCCGGGACCAUCCGGUAAGGCUAAAUACUCCUGGAAUACCGAUAGUGAACAAGUACCGUGAGGGAAAGGUGAAAAGUACCCUGAAUAAGGGGGUGAAAAGAACCUGAAACCGUGCGCUUACAAGCGGUCGGAGGUUCCGUAGUGGACUGACGGCGUGCCUUUUGCAUAAUGAGCCUACGAGUUACUCUUCACUGGCGAGGUUAAGGCAUUUGAAUGCUGUAGCCGGAGCGAAAGCGAGUCUGAAUAGGGCGCAUAGUCAGUGGAGGUAGACGCGAAACCCUGUGAU